GUGCUCUCUCUGGCAGCACAUAUAUUAAAAUUGGAAAGGUACAGAGAAAUUAGCAUGGCCUCUGUGCAAGGAUGGCAUGCAAAUUUGUGAAGUGUCCCCUAUUUAA